CCGACCUUAGCUCAGCUGGCAGAGCGCGAGACUGUAAAUCUUGAGGUCGCCUGUUCGAACCAGGCAGGUCGGA
rnacentral:tRNA from 2 species